GUCGACGCGCUUCGGAAACUGGGGGACUUGAGGGCAGGAGAGGCGAGCGGAAUUCCCGGUGUAGCGGUGAAAUGCGUAGAGAUCGGGAAGAACACCAGUGGCGAAGGCGGCUCGCUGGACUGGCCCUGACGCUGACGCGCGAAAGCGUGGGGAGCGGACGGGAUUAGAUACCCCGGUAGUCCACGCCGUAAACGAUGGGCACUAGGUGUGGGAGGUAUCGACCCCUCCCGUGCCGGAGUUAACACACUAAGUGCCCCGCCUGGGGAGUACGGCCGCAAGGUUGAAACUCAAAGGAAUUGACGGGGGCCCGCACAAGCAGUGGAGCAUGUGGUUUAAUUCGACGCAACGCGAAGAACCUUACCCGGGCUUGACAUCCCCGGAACACCCGAGAGAUCGGGUGGCUCUACGGAGCCGGGAGACAGGUGCUGCAUGGUUGUCGUCAGCUCGUGUCGUGAGAUGUUGGGUUAAGUCCCGCAACGAGCGCAACCCUUGUCCCGUGUUACCAGCGUAAAGGCGGGGACUCACGGGAGACUGCCGGUGACAAACCGGAGGAAGGUGGGGAUGACGUCAAAUCAUCAUGGCCCUUAUGUCCGGGGCUACACACGUGCUACAAUGGCCGGCACAGCGGGAUGCGAAGGGGCGACCCGGAGCGAAUCCCUGAAAGCCGGUCCCAGUUCGGAUCGCAGGCUGAAACCCGCCUGCGUGAAGCCGGAAUUGCUAGUAAUCGCGGAUCAGCAUGCCGCGGUGAUACGUUCCCGGGCCUUGUACACACCGCCCGUCACACCACGAGAGUCGGCAACACCCGAAGCCGGUGGAGCGAACCCGCAAGGGACGCAGCCGUCGAAGGUGGGGCGGAUGAUUGGGGUGAAGUCGUAACAAGGU
rnacentral:rRNA from 1 species